rnacentral:rRNA from 1 species
AUUGAACGCUGGCGGCAGGCCUAACACAUGCAAGUCGAACGAGUGGCGGACGGGUGAGUAAUGUCUGGGAAACUGCCUGCUGGAGGGGGAUAACUACUGGAAACGGUAGCUAAUACCGCAUACCAUCGGAUGUGCCCAGAUGGGAUUAGCUAGUAGGUGGGGUAAAGGCUCACCUAGGAGACGAUCCCUAGCUGGUCUGAGAGGAUGACCAGCCAAACGGGAACUGAGACACGGUCCAGACUCCUACGGGAGGCAGCAGUGGGGAAUAUUGCAUCAUGGGCGCAAGGCUGAUGCAGCCAUGCAGGGUGUAUGAAGAAGGCCUUCGGGUUGUAAAGUACUUUCAGCGGGGAGGCGUUACCCGCAGAAGAAGCACCGGCUAACUCCGUGCCAGCAGCCGCGGUAAUAC